GACGAACGCUGGCGGCGUGCUUAACACAUGCAAGUCGAACGGAAAGGCCCUGCUUGCGGGGUACUCGAGUGGCGAACGGGUGAGUAACACGUGGGUGAUCUGCCCUGCACUUCGGGAUAAGCCUGGGAAACUGGGUGUAAUACAGGAUAGGAGCCAUUUUUAGUGUGAUGGUUGGAAAGUUUUGUGGGUUAUGGAUGAGACCGCGGCCUAUCAGCUUGCUGCGGGGGUAAUGGCCUACCAAGACGGCGGCGUGUAGCCGGACUGUGAGGGUGGACGGCCACACUGGGACUGAGAUACGGCCCAGGCUCCGACGCGAGGGAGCAGUGGGGAAGAUUGCAGAAGGGGCGCCAGCCUGAUGCAGCGACGCCGCGGGUGGGAUGACGGCCUUCGUGUUGUAAACCCCUUUCGCUAGUGACGAAGCUCUUUGUGACGGUACCUAGAUAGGAAGCACCGGCUAACUACGUG
rnacentral:rRNA from 1 species